GAAGCAUAAGCCAGAGCAAUAAUUGACUAACCCACAUUUUAUUCUUUUCCCCCUAGCAAAUGCUUAUAUGACUGGGAUUCAAAGAAUUUGGUGUGCUGGCUGAAUCAUCAGUUUCUCCCACAGUGAUGGAUAUCACAAUGAUACAAAUUGUCUUAUCAGCACUGGUCUGAAUAU
rnacentral:lncRNA from 1 species